AGCGGCUGCACUUAGACCAGGGCUUCUCUGUCAAUUCCCUUAGCAUGCGACUCAUAUGGACUCUCUGGCUAACCUGAUAAAAUCAGAAUUGGUCAAGGAUUUGUGUUUUACUCAACUUGGCUGCGAUUCAGAGCUGGAUAAACUGGGACCCUGCUGCUUUCAGACCAAAACACAGAAGACCCCAUCAUGGGAGACCCAGAGCCAAGUGGUCUCAACCAUCAAGUGAGAGGGUCUGAAAACAAGAAGCGGUACAGUGAGAUUUUCCGGAGUCUGGACGCCUUAGAAAUCUCACUUGGAAAUUCGACAGUUGACAUGUUCAUUGAUGACACAGACAGCACGGACACCACAGACCUGACCCCAGAGAGUGAGAUGCUCCUAGUAAGUGAAGAGACAGAACCCUUUUCAAUAGAGAUAUUAAGUAACAUUUAUUCUAGCAAGGGAAAUGAAAU
rnacentral:lncRNA from 1 species